rnacentral:rRNA from 1 species
UACGAAGGGGGCUAGCGUUGUUCGGAAUUACUGGGCGUAAAGCGCACGUAGGCGGACAUUUAAGUCAGGGGUGAAAUCCCAGAGCUCAACUCUGGAACUGCCUUUGAUACUGGGUGUCUUGAGUAUGGAAGAGGUGAGUGGAACUGCGAGUGUAGAGGUGAAAUUCGUAGAUAUUCGCAAGAACACCAGUGGCGAAGGCGACUUACUGGACACAUAUUGACGCUGAGGUGCGAAAGCGUGGGGAGCAAACAGG